rnacentral:rRNA from 1 species
GGGGAAUUUUGCACAAUGGGGGAAACCCUGAUGCAGCAACGCCGCGUGAGUGAAGAAGGCUCUUGGGUCGUAAAGCUCUUUCGGCUAGGAAGAAGGGAUUUAAGGUUAAUACCCUUAGAUUUUGACGGUACUA